CUUUUACAUCGACCACGCGUGUUGAAAAGAAGCGACUGGCUCACCUCUGUUCAAAGAACCGAUAAUUUAUCUUUGAUUAAGUCGGCCAGAAUAUACAACAAUGUCCCACUUUAAAGACUCCAAAGCUCCACAGGAUGAGGCUCCCAUCCACAGAAUUCGUAUUACACUUACCAGCAGGAAUGUUAAAAGUCUGGAAAAGGGGUGUGAAUUCUAUUGAAUGUUCACUGGUUUGACUACACGCUCCUUAGAUCCACCUUUGGGACCUCUGUCUCGGACAGAUAUCCAGCAACUUUACCGGUUGUUUAUCGAAGUGUGUGCUGAUCUUAUCAAGGGAGCCAAGGAGAAGUCCCUGAAGGUGAAGGGACCAGUGCGCAUGCCCACCAAGGUUCUGCGCAUCACCACCAGGAAGACACCCUGUGGAGAGGGUUCCAAGACCUGGGAUAGAUUUCAGAUGCGCAUCCACAAGCGCCUCAUCGAUCUGCACAGUCCCUCUGAGAUUGUCAAGCAGAUUACAUCCAUCAGUAUCGAACCCGGAGUGGAGGUCGAGGUCACCAUUGCUGAUGCAUAGAUAUGUGCGACCAAGAAAAAAACCAAUAAAAAGAGAAU
rnacentral:misc_RNA from 1 species